UGGGGAAUUUUGGGCAAUGGGGGAAACCCUGACCCAGCAACGCCGCGUGAAGGAUGAAGUAUUUCGGUAUGUAAACUUCGAAAGAAUAGGAAGAAUAAAUGACGGUACUAUUUAUAAGGUCCGGCUAACUACGUGCCAGCAGCCGCGGUAAUACGUAGGGACCAAGCGUUGUUCGGAUUUACUGGGCGUAAAGGGCGCGUAGGCGGCAUGACAAGUCACUUGUGAAAUCUCUGGGCUUAACCCAGAACGGCCAAGUGAUACUGUCGCGCUAGAGUGCAGAAGGGGCAAUCGGAAUUCUUGGUGUAGCGGUGAAAUGCGUAGAUAUCAAGAGGAACACCUGAGGUGAAGACGGGUUGCUGGCCAAAUACUGACGCUGAGGCGCGAAAGCCAGGGGAGCAAACGGGAUUAGAUACCCUAGUAGUCCCUGAGCGGGCUGGCAAGGCGCAU
rnacentral:rRNA from 1 species